rnacentral:lncRNA from 1 species
UAGUUUUAUUGUGUCUUAAAUGGCGCCUCCAAUGAAAGUGCCAAAACAAAAAACACAAAAAUAAUGCAAAUGCUGAAAUAUCAUACCUGUAUUUCAAUAUUUUAAAGUUAUUUGUUGGGAAUAAUAUACAUACGUACAUAUGUCUAAACCUAUUGGACAAAAGAGCUGAUUACUUGCCUGGUGAUACCAUUUAGGAGGAAAC